AACGAACGCUGGCGGCAUGCCUAACACAUGCAAGUAGAACGAUGCCUUCGGGUCUAGUGGCGCACGGGUGCGUAACGCGAGGGAACCUUCACUCAGGGUCGGAAUAACUCCUCGAAAGGGGUGCUAAUACCGGAUAAUGUCUACUGACCAAUGAUUAUUCUCCUUUGGAUGGGUCCGCGUUGAAUGAGCUAGUUCGUAGGGUAAACAUCUACCAAGGCGACGAUCCAUAGCAGGUCUGAGAGGAUGAUCAGCCACACUGGGACUAGGACACGGCCCAGACUCCUACGGGAGGCAGCAGUCGGGGAUCUUGGACAGUGGGCGAAAGCAUGAUCCAUUACUGACGCGUGAGUGCUGAAGUCCUUAGGGUUGUAAAGCUCUUUUACCAGGGAUGCUAAUGACAGGACCGUUAGAAUAAGCUCCCGCUAACUCCGUG
rnacentral:rRNA from 1 species